rnacentral:lncRNA from 1 species
GCUAGCUGUAUUGGGUACAGAUGGUAAUAUGUAGGCUAAUAUGCUGAAGGCUAGCUGUAUUGGGUACAGAUGAUAAUAUGUAGGGGUAAUAAUAUGCUGAAGGCUAGCUGUAUUGGGUACAGAUGAUAAUAUGUAGGCUAUAAUAAUAUGUUGAAGGCUAGCUGUAUUGGGUACAGAUGAUAAUAUGUAGGGGUAAUAAUAUGCUGAAGGCUAGCUGUAUUGGGUACAGAUGAUAAUAUGUAGGCUAUAAUAAUAUGUUGAAGGCUAGCUGUAUUGGGUACAGAUGAUAAUAUGUAGGGGUAAUAAUAUGCUGAAGGCUAGCUGUAUUGGGUACAGAUGAUAAUAUGUAGGCUAUAAUAAUAUGCUGAAGGCUAGCUGUAUUGGGUACAGAUGAUAAUAUGUAGGGGUAAUAAUAUGUUGAAGGCUAGCUGUAUUGGGUACAGAUGAUAAUAUGUAGGGGUAAUAAUAUGUUGAAGGCUAGCUGUAUUGGGUACAGAUGAUAAUAUGUAGGGGUAAUAAUAUGCUGAAGGCUAGCUGUAUUGGGUACAGAUGAUAAUAUGUAUAAUAAUAUGCUGAAGGCUAGCUGUAUUGGGUACAGAUGAUAAUAUGUAGGCUAUAAUAAUAUGUUGAAGGCUAGCUGUAUUGGGUACAGAUGAUAAUAUGUAGGGGUAAUAAUAUGCUGAAGGCUAGCUGUAUUGGGUACAGAUGAUAAUAUGUAGGCUAUAAUAAUAUGCUGAUGGCUAGCUGUAUUGGGUACAGAUGAUAAUAUGUAGGCUAAUAUGCUGAAGGCUAGCUGUAUUGGGUGCAGAUGAUAAUAUGUAUAAUAAUAUGCUGAAGGCUAGCUGUAUUGGGUACAGAUGAUAAUAUGUAGGGGUAAUAAUAUGUUGAAGGCUAGCUGUAUUGGGUACAGAUGAUAAUAUGUAGGCUAAUAUGUUGAAGGCUAGCUGUAUUGGGUACAGAUGAUAAUAUGUAGGCUAUAAUAAUAUGCUGAAGGCUAGCUGUAUUGGGUACAGAUGAUAAUAUGUAGGCUAAUAUACUGAAGGCUAGCUGUAUUGGGUACAGAUGAUAAUAUGUAUAAUAAUAUGCUGAAGGCUAGCUGUAUUGGGUACAGAUGAUAAUAUGUAGGGGUAAUAAUAUGUUGAAGGCUAGCUGUAUUGGGUACAGAUGAUAAUAUGUAGGGGUAAUAAUAUGCUGAAGGCUAGCUGUAUUGGGUACAGAUGAUAAUAUGUAGGGGUAAUAAUAUGCUGAAGGCUAGCUGUAUUGGGUGCAGAUGAUAAUAUGGGUAAUAAUAUGCUGAAGGCUAGCUGUAUUGGGUACAGAUGAUAAUAUGUAGGCUAUAAUAAUAUGUUGAAGGCUAGCUGUAUUGGGUACAGAUGAUAAUAUGUAGGCUAAUAUACUGAAGGCUAGCUGUAUUGGGUACAGAUGGUAAU